rnacentral:lncRNA from 1 species
GCACAAUCGGCAUACCACACUAGCCUUGGACAAACCCCUUCUUUCUCCCCGUCCUCAGACCUGCUCCUCCCAAACUUUCCAAUUUCAGUAAAUGGCUUCACCUCACUGCUCAGACUGAAAACCCAAAGCCAGGAUCUCAAUGGCCACCUACCAGAGCGAACAAAUUCUUGGAUUGCAUGAGACUUCGGGGUUGCCAAAGCCUUGAGACUUCUGGUGUUAAACUGAAGAAAAUCUCAAGUAAACCAGAUGAGGGAAAGAAAAUUUUUUUCUCAUUCUAG